rnacentral:lncRNA from 1 species
CUGCUGUUCUCUGUCCAUUCACCAUAAUCCAUCCUGAAAUAAAUCAAUGAAGCGCUUGUGACUGAAUCUACAUUCUCAAAACCCUUUAUACACAUUGAUGAAUGUAAUGAAGUGUUCGAGGAUGGAAAUGAAUUCCUACCCCACAACAAAAACCGCAUAUCCACUUAGGUGAUAGCUAUGCAUCUUGGUGUCAUUGUUCUGCAGAAUGACUUCCAUAAAUCCCCUGUAUGUUCCAUUGAUCACUGAUGUUGCCAUUUUAGGUGGUCCUGUAAGGGGCGUCUCAGGGAAAUCAAGCUUAUACGCACCCUUCACUUUGAACUGGUCUGCAAGCCUGAUUGGAGUAGUAGGAUUGACAAAUGAUAUCCCACUGAGAGUUGCUCGUCUUUUCCCGUUAAUUGUUACCAGAGGCUUAUUUUUCAACACGUAAACAUCGGUCACAUUGAUUGAGCCAUAUCUGAAUGAGCCUUGAGGGUUGGGACGUGCACCACUUGCAGAAACAUUCCAUCUGCACAGUUUGACCGUAGAAUCCUCACAGUGAAUUAUAACGAGCAAAGUUUAUAAUAAUGUGAAAAUUCUCUAAUACAGAAAUGCAAUUCCGUUAAAAUUUGAUUGCAAGGUUAUAAUACAAUAUUUUCCUUUGGAGCAGCAAGGAAUAAGUAGCUUAUUUGAGGUCCUAAUUUUUCAAAAUUUUGAAGCACACAGUACUUUUUUCUCAAAUCCCAGUUCCUUUUCUAUUUAUAGGGAAAGAUGAAAUUAUUAAUCAGAGCACUCAUUAAGUUCAGAAUUGCUAAACAAUGCAGUAAGGCAUUUUAACCACCAUAGAAGCCAACCUGAUGGAUCUUGCUUGGUUCAUUGAGAAGGUUUUGUCAAACUCAUCAUUAGGUGCCUCUGGAAGGGGACCCUUUGCCUUCCCCUUGGAAUUUGUGUAAUGCAAGAUUGCAACACCAGUAACCCUUUUCCACUGCGAUUCAUUCACAAACCUUGCACUAGCUACAAUGUAGUAAUCAGUACUUGCGUUCUGAUCCAUUGUC